UGAAAAAAUAUUUACAUCGGGGAACUCAAUCAUUAUCUAAUGAAAUUGCACUCGUUUAUUAUCGGACAACUCUUGUAUCAACUGUACUUUGAACGGAUGCAAAUAUUCAAUAACUUACUAGUUGAAAAUAGAUGUUUGAAGGUGGUUGAAAAUAUAUGUUCUCCGGAAUCAUUAUUGAGAUACGGAUAUAACUAUGAGGAAUAACUUAUUCAGAUUUCUUCGAAUAACAAGAUUGUCUGAAUGGGAUGUGGUUGGUGGUCUGGCUAUUAUUGGCAGAGUUCUAUGCAAUGUCGGAAAUAAUAAUUUCCGGAAUAGAUCAGUCUUGAAAUGUUGAAUUAAUUAUAAAAUUUCAUGAAACCAGAACCUGAUUGCUUCUAAUAUCACAAGCAGUAGCUAUGUUAUUGAAUAAACCCACAAACCACUGACAAAAGAAUUAUGACAUUGAUUGGACUAAUGACGUUCAAAAUAAUUUUAGCAAAACAGUUUAGGACAUCUAAAAAAGUAUUAUACAGGACAUAUAGUGAAAGCUAUCGAUAUUAUGAACUAUUUUAUUGAGAAUAUAUCUUGGAUGACCA